CAGCACCUCAAGUGGUCAGGAUGAUUAUUGGGCCUAAAGCAUCCGUAGCCGGCGCUGUAAGUUUUCGGUUAAAUCUGUACGCUCAACGUACAGGCUGCCGGGAAUACUGCAGCGCUAGGGAGUGGGAGAGGUAGACGGUACUCGGUAGGAAGGGGUAAAAUCCUUUGAUGUAUUGAUGACCACCUGUGGCGAAGGCGGUCUACCAGAACACGUCCGACGGUGAGGGAUGAAAGCUGGGGGAGCAAACCGGAUUAGAUACCCGAGUAGUCC
rnacentral:rRNA from 1 species